rnacentral:rRNA from 1 species
AGCGUGGAGACAGGUGGUGCAUGGCUGUCGUCAGCUCGUGUCGUGAGAUGUUGGGUUAAGUCCCGCAACGAGCGCAACCCUCACCUCUUGUUGCCAUCAGGUCAUGCUGGGCACUCUAGAGGAACUGCCCCGGUCAACGGGGAGGAAGGCGGGGAUGACGUCAAGUCAUCAUGCCCCUUACGUCCUGGGCUACACACGUGCUACAAUGGCCGGUACAAAGGGAUACCACACCGCGAGGUAGAGCUAAACCCAAAAAGCCGGUCUAAGUUCAGAUUGGAGUCUGCAACUCGACUCCAUGAAGGAGGAAUCGCUAGUAAUCGCGUAUCAGCACGACGCGGUGAAUACGUUCCCGGGCCUUGUACACACCGCCCGUCACACCACGAAAGCCUGCUGUACUCGAAGUCGCUGAG